AUAGGUUUAAUAUAUAUUUAUAUUGAAUUCUAUUUUUUGUUCUUCUUCUGCUUUUGUCUGCCGCCUCCAACGGAAAGAGGUUGUUUUUUCAUUGCAGAAAGCACAAAAUCCAGCCAUGAAAAAAAUGAAACGAAGCUUCAGUUGACGAUAUGUGAGAACAGUUAAUCAUGCAGGUUCACCAUCAUUGAAUUGUUCUCUUUCUUUGGAUCAAGACAAUAUUUCUCAAACAGAUCACAGUCCACCAAGAAAGCGAGGGAGAAAGAAGACAAAUAAUUGUACAAUCGAAAAUGUUCCUGAUACAUCUACGAAAUUAAAAGCACCAACUUUUUGUAAGCAUUGCAAUGCAAAAAAAAUUCCUCACGAGAGUCAAUAUUUUUGUUGUUCUAAUGGAGAGAUCUUCAUAACCACCAAUAUUGCUCCUAUAAUUUUACAUAACUUAUAUACAUCAUCUUCAAAUGAUGCAUUAGAAUUUCAAAUGUAUGUUCGGACUUACAAUAACACUUUUGCUUUUACUUCA